CUGGGUGCGGACCGGCCCGGGGGGCGGGGGAGGCCGCGGCGGCCGAGAAGGAAGCGAGCCCGGCGCGGUGCGCGCGGCGACGGACGCUUCCUGGAUGGCUGCCCGGGAGAGGACGUGGCUCUCGUGGAUUGCGUCUCACGUCGGGGGGCAGCUGGGAAUGAUUUCCUUGGCCGGGUCGUGGGCCUCGGGCCACGAAGUACGGAACUUGCUCCCCUGGGGUCCUGCGGACUCUGACUGGUCGGGGCCCAUUUUCCGAUAAGGAGCAGACCGUGCCCCCGUCAAGUGCGGGCGAGGAAUGGGUAUUGUUUGUUUUAAGCUCCUCCGAUGCUUACGAUGACAUCUCAGGUUAGGAACCCCUGUACUUGGAAGUAAUAUGCUCCGUAUUGCAGGCAGAACUGACAGAUGAAAACACCCCUUUGAUCCAUCCCUCCUUCCCAGGAGGAGGAGGUGCCCAGGGGCGACCUCAGACCCCAGGGCGUUAUCAUUUUUCGAAGAUGGAACUGGUAGUUGCCUGAGAUUUAUUAUAGAAGCCAUGUAGCAUCUGGCAAUUUGAUCUGGAACCCAAAUUUAAGAUCGGGUGUGAGAAGUGGGGGAACCACCGGCUCCCUGCCCCCCAAACGACUACUGAAUCUUCGAGAAUUUAUUUACAACUGGGGCACCUUGCUAAAUGAUGCCUGUAGUCAUAACAACCCUGAAGCAUCACUGUGAAGACAUCAUAAUACAAGGUCAGGAGCAUGACAAGUUAUUCCAAGCCGCAUUUCCAGUUGCUCUCAUGUCUAUUUUGGUUAGACUAAGAUUUUAAUUAGCUACUGCUCUCCACGUCUCCGUGAGAUGGAUUUCCCCCUUUUAUGGGUGUGAUAAAAAGCUAGUGAGAGCAAAUAAUAUUUAACCACCGUACACGGUGCUAGAAACAAUAAAGGAUGUGGGAAAUAUUUUGUUGUCCCAGAUUCUGUGUCUUGAAAGUGGUGUUAGUGGCAAAACUGACAGCAGGUUGAAGGCAUUAAAGUCGAGCAAAUUCAGCUUCUUGUCCAGAGAGGCUUCUCAAGGAGGUUUAGGCUUCAGGCUGGAAUUUGGAUUGACAGGCAAGACCAUAACUUAAAGCCUUUUUCCUUCCUGCCAUCCUGUAUAUAAAAAUCAUCCUACUAAAGCUCAGUACAAAUGCCAUGUCCUCUAGAAGUCAUUCUUAAUCUGGGAAUGAUUCAUUUCCAUUGUGCCAUUUUGCUCAUAAUAGACGUAUUAGUUUCCUAGGACUGCCAUAACAAAGUACCACAAACUGAAUGGCUUAACACAACAGAAAUGUAUUGUCUCAGAGUUGUGAAGGCUAGAAGUCCUAAAUUAAGGUGACGGCAGGGCUGUACUCCCUCUGAAAAUUAUAGAGGAUAGUCCUUGCCCAUUUCUGGUAGCAGCCAGCAAUCCUGAGGAUUCCUCGGCUUGCAGCUAUAUCACUCUAAUCUCUGCCUCGAUUGUCGCUUGAUGUUUUCCCUUCCUGUGUCUGUAUCCGUCUUUCUCUAUUGGAUUAAGGACCCAUCCUACUCCAGUACUACCGCGUCUUAAGUAACAAUAUCUGCAAGAAUUCUAUUUCCAAAUAAGGUCACGUUCUAAAGUACUGGGGGUUAGGACUUCAACAUAUCUUUUGGGGAACACCAUCCGACCCACAACAACACACAUAUUUUUGGUAGUUAAUUGUAAAUGUCACCUUGCCUGCCACCUUGUGAGAUCCUUGAAGGUAGAUGGUAUCUACACAUCUGAUUUUCUCCACAGUGCCUUAAUCGCUUUUAAUUCUGGAAGCUGUGGAGCAGUUCUUCAGGGCAAUCGGAAAAGCUCCCGGUCUACUGUCCUCAGGAGCAUAAUGAAUAAAGUGCUUCCUAACCUA